rnacentral:rRNA from 1 species
AUGGUCCAAGUCAGUACCGCAGGAGCCGGUCAUCACCCCACCAGAGUAGAAUUGGAAUGUCAUGUCACCUCCGUCCACAGCUACGGACACUGGUUGGUUUGCCACCGCCUUCAUAAGGGCACCCUCGUUAUUGGCAGGCACAUCCUCGAAGCUGGUGAUGGUUGCGGCGCUGUUGGAUCCAGCCUUGCACUUGUCGUCGGCUGCAGUAUAUGGGUAGCUGGACUCCAUGGUCAGACCUCCGUUCUUCAAGAAAAAGGGUUUCCCCCCGCUUUGUAUUACAAAGCAACCAUCCGAUACAAUCCACGAUAG